CUAGACAAGCGGGCCUCGAUCCCACAAGGUCCUAGUUAACAGCUAGGUGCCCAAACCAACAGGCUUUCGUCUA
rnacentral:tRNA from 1 species